GCACAAGCGGAGGAACAUGUGGUUUAAUUCGAUGAUACGCGAGGAACCUUACCUGGGCUUAAAUGUAGAGUGCAUUUUUUAGAGAUAGAAAUUCCCUUCGGGGCUUUUCUGCAAGGUGCUGCAUGGUUGUCGUCAGCUCGUGCCGUGAGGUGUCGGGUUAAGUCCCAUAACGAGCGCAACCCUUAUCGUUAGUUGCCAUCUGGUAAUGCAGGGGACUCUAGCGAAACUGCCACCGUAAGGUGAGAGGAAGGUGGGAUGACGUCAAAUCAGCACGGCCCUUAUGUCCAGGGCUACACACGUGUUACAAUGGUCGGUACAGAGGGCAGCUACCUGGUGACAGGAUGCUAAUCUCGAAAACCGGUCUCAGUUCGGAUCGAAGUCUGCAACUCGACUUCGUGAAGCUGGAUUCGCUAGUAAUCGCGCAUCAGCUAUGGCGCGGUGAAUACGUUCCCGGGCCUU
rnacentral:rRNA from 1 species